AUACGUAGGGGGCAAGCGUUGUCCGGAAUUAUUGGGCGUAAAGCGCGCGCAGGCGGUUCUUUUAGUCUGGUGUUUAAACCUGGGGCUCCACUUCAGGUCGCACUGGAAAAUGGGGGACUUGAGUGCAGAAGAGGAGAGUGGAAUUCCACGUGUAGCGGGGAAAUGGGUAGAUAUGUGGAGGAACACCAGUGGCGAAGGCGACUCUCUGGGCUGUAACUGACGCUGAGGCGCGAAAGCGUGGGGAGCAAACAGGAUUAGAUACCCUGGUAGUCCACGCCGUAAACGAUGAGUGCUAGGUGUUAGGGGUUUCGAUACCCUUGGUGCCGAAGUUAACACAUUAAGCAUUCCGCCUGGGGAGUACGGUCGCAAGACUGAAACUCAAAGGAAUUGACGGGG
rnacentral:rRNA from 1 species